rnacentral:rRNA from 1 species
AUUGAACGCUGGCGGCAUGCUUUACACAUGCAAGUCGAACGGCAGCACGGGGGCAACCCUGGUGGCGAGUGGCGAACGGGUGAGUAAUGCAUCGGAACAUACCCAGUCGUGGGGGAUAACGUAGCGAAAGUUACGCUAAUACCGCAUACGUCCUGAGGGAGAAAGCGGGGGAUCUUCGGACCUCGCGCGAUUGGAGUGGCCGAUGUCAGAUUAGCUAGUUGGUAGGGUAAAGGCCUACCAAGGCGACGAUCUGUAGCGGGUCUGAGAGGAUGCUCCGCCACACUGGGACGGAGACACGGCCCAGACUCCUACGGGAGGCAGCAGUGGGGAAUUUUGGACAAUGGGGGCAACCCUGAUCCAGCCAUGCCGCGUGCGGGAAGAAGGCCUUCGGGUUGUAAACCGCUUUCGGACGGAAAGAAAUCGCACGGGCCAAUACCCUGUGUGGAUGACGGUACCGUAAGAAGAAGCACCGGCUAACUACGUGCCAGCAGCCGCAGUAACAC